rnacentral:rRNA from 1 species
AUUGAACGCUGGCGGAAUGCUUUACACAUGCAAGUCGAACGGCAGCACGGGUGCUUGCACCUGGUGGCGAGUGGCGAACGGGUGAGUAAUAUAUCGGAACGUACCCAGUAAUGGGGAAUAACUAACCGAAAGGUUAGCUAAUACCGCAUACGCCCUGAGGGGGAAAGCGGGGGAUCGAAAGACCUCGCGUUAUUGGAGCGGCCGAUAUCUGAUUAGCUAGUUGGUGGGGUAAAGGCCCACCAAGGCGACGAUCAGUAGCUGGUCUGAGAGGAAGAUCAGCCACACUGGAACUGAGACACGGUCCAGACUCCUACGGGAGGCAGCAGUGGGGAAUUUUGGACAAUGGGCGAAAGCCUGAUCCAGCCAUUCCGCGUGAGUGAAGAAGGCCUUCGGGUUGUAAAGCUCUUUCGGCAGGGAAGAAACGGUCUAGGUUAAUACCUUGGGCUAAUGACGGUACCUGAAGAAGAAGCACCGGCUAACUACGUGCCAGCCGCCGCGGUAA